rnacentral:rRNA from 1 species
CGGCAACAGCUCAAAUUUGAAAUCUGGCCUCUUGGGGUCCGAGUUGUAAUUUGUAGAGGAUGUUUUGGGUACCGCCCCGGUUUAAAUUUCUUGGAACAGAAUGUCAAAGAGGGUGAGAGCCCCGUCUGGCUGGCCACCGAGCCUCUGUAAAGCUCCUUCGAC